rnacentral:tRNA from 1 species
GCUGGGAUAGCUCAGUCGGUAGAGCAGAAGACUGAAAAUCUUUGAGUCACCAGUUCGAUUCUGGUUCCUAGCA